AACCCAGGCUAAUACCGCAUACGUCCUACGGGAGAAAGGGGGCUUCGGCUCCCGCUAUUGGAUGAGCCUAUGUCGGAUUAGCUAGUUGGUAAGGUAAUGGCUUACCAAGGCAACGAUCCGUAGCUGGUCUGAGAGGAUGAUCAGCCACAUCGGGACUGAGACACGGCCCGAACUCCUACGGGAGGCAGCAGUGGGGAAUAUUGGACAAUGGGGGCAACCCUGAUCCAGCCAUGCCGCGUGUGUGAAGAAGGCCCUCGGGUUGUAAAGCACUUUCAGCGAGGAAGAACGCCUAUCGGUUAAUACCCGGUAGGAAAGACAUCACUCGCAGAAGAAGCACCGGCUAACUCCGUGCCAGCAGCCGCGGUAAUACGGAGGGUGCAAGCGUUAAUCGGAAUUACUGGGCGUAAAGCGCGCGUAGGUGGCUUGAUAAGCCGGUUGUGAAAGCCCCGGGCUCAACCUGGGAACGGCAUCCGGAACUGUCAGGCUAGAGUGCAGGAGAGGAAGGUAGAAUUCCCGGUGCAGCGGUGAAAUGCGUAGAGAUCGGGAGGAAUACCAGUGGCGAAGGCGGCCUUCUGGACUGACACUGACACUGAGGUGCGAAAGCGUGGGUAGCAAACAGGAUUAGAUACCCUGGUAGUCCACGCCGUAAACGAUGUCGACCAGCCGUUGGGUGCCUAGAGCACUUUGUGGCGAAGUUAACGCGAUAAGUCGACCGCCUGGGGAGUACGGCCGCAAGGUUAAAACUCAAAUGAAUUGACGGGGGCCCGCACAAGCGGUGGAGCAUGUGGUUUAAUUCGAUGCAACGCGAAGAACCUUACCUACCCUUGACAUCUACAGAAGCCGGAAGAGAUUCUGGUGUGCCUUCGGGAACUGUAAGACAGGUGCUGCAUGGCUGUCGUCAGCUCGUGUUGUGAAAUGUUGGGUUAAGUCCCGUAACGAGCGCAACCCUUGUCCUUAUUUGCCAGCGAGUAAUGUCGGGAACUCUAAGGAGACUGCCGGUGACAAACCGGAGGAAGGUGGGGACGACGUCAAGUCAUCAUGGCCCUUACGGGUAGGGCUACACACGUGCUACAAUGGCCGGUACAAAGGGCUGCGAGCUCGCGAGAGUCAGCGAAUCCCUUAAAGCCGGUCUCAGUCCGGAUCGGAGUCUGCAACUCGACUCCGUGAAGUCGGAAUCGCUAGUAAUCGUGAAUCAGAAUGUCACGGUGAAUACGUUCCCGGGCCUUGUACACA
rnacentral:rRNA from 1 species